CCUACGGGAGGCAGCAGUGGGGAAUAUUGCGCAAUGGGGGCAACCCUGACGCAGCAACGCCGCGUGCGGGACGACGGCCUUCGGGUUGUAAACCGCUUUCAGCAGGGAAGACCGACGACGGUACCUGCAGAAGAAGCCCCGGCUAACUACGUGCCAGCAGCCGCGGUAAUACGUAGGGGGCGAGCGUUAUCCGGAUUCAUUGGGCGUAAAGCGCGCGUAGGCGGCGCGCCAAGCGGAACCUCUAACCUCGGGGCUCAACCUCGAGCCGGGUUCCGAACUGGCGCGCUCGAGUUCGGUAGAGGCAGGCGGAAUUCCCGGUGUAGCGGUGGAAUGCGCAGAUAUCGGGAAGAACACCGAUGGCGAAGGCAGCCUGCUGGGCCGACACUGACGCUGAGGUGCGAAAGCUAGGGGAGCGAACAGGCUUAGAUACCCGUGUAGUC
rnacentral:rRNA from 1 species